rnacentral:rRNA from 1 species
CAUGAGUGGCGGACGGGUGAGUAACGCGUGGGCAACCUGGCCUGUACAGGGGGAUAACACUUAGAAAUAGGUGCUAAUACCGCAUAACGGGGGAAGCCGCAUGGCUUUUCCCUGAAAACUCCGGUGGUACAGGAUGGGCCCGCGUCUGAUUAGCCAGUUGGCAGGGUAACGGCCUACCAAAGCGACGAUCAGUAGCCGGCCUGAGAGGGUGGACGGCCACAUUGGGACUGAGACACGGCCCAGACUCCUACGGAAGGCAGCAG